rnacentral:rRNA from 1 species
CCUACGGGAGGCAGCAGUGGGGAAUAUUGCACAAUGGGGGAAACCCUGAUGCAGCAACGCCGCGUGAGUGAAGAAGUAUUUCGGUAUGUAAAGCUCUAUCAGCAGGGAAGAAAAUGACGGUAACUGAGUAAGAAGCCCAGGCUAACUACGUGCCAGCAGCCGGGGUAAUACGUAGGGGGCAAGCGUUAGCCGGAUUUACUGGGUGUAAAGGGAGCGUAGACGGUGAUGCAAGUCUGAAGUGAAAGACCGAGGCUCAACCCUGGGACUGCUUUGGAAACUGUAUGGCUGGAGUGCUGGAGAGGCAAGCGGAAUUCCUAGUGUAGCGGUGAAAUGCGUAGAUAUUAGGAAGAACACCAGUGGCGAAGGCGGCUUGCUGGACUGUAACUGACGUUGAGGCUCGAGAGCGUGGGGAGCAAACAGGAUUAGAUACCCCAGUAGUC